CCCUUAGAUGUUCUGGGCCGCACGCGCGCUACACUGAUGCAUUCAACGAGCCUAUCCUUGACCGACAGGUCCGGGUAAUCUUUGAAUCUGCAUCGUGACGGGGAUAGAUUAUUGCAAUUAUUAAUCUUCAACGAGGAAUGCCUAGUAGGCGCAAGUCAUCAGCUUGCGUCGAUUACGUCCCUGCCCUUUGUACACACCGCCCGUCGCUCCUACCGAUUGGGUGUGCUGGUGAAAUGUUCGGAUCGGCCGUUUGUCGCGGUUUCCGCGUCAUGUGGCUGAGGAGUUCAUUAAACCCUCCCACCUAGAGGAAGGAGAAGUCGUAACA
rnacentral:rRNA from 1 species